ACCACUUGUAAAGCAAUGAUAAGCCCUUUGAACUCAGAUAAUGCAGCUGAUCCAGGCAUAUCUCAGAGAUGCUGCUCAGAUCUCCCAAUUCAAAAGAGGCUCUUGCCUACAUUCAGCUGUCUAGAAGCUACGGGAAUGCCUGAAGUCAGAGGAACUGCUGCCUACCAGAGCAAGUUCUGCUCCCUGAGUACCUGGUCUAUCCUUUGGUCAAGAAAAGUAGCCCAGCAAGCUCUGGUUUGAAAGAGCCAUUAUGAACAUGUCCAAAGCAGUGUCUACAUCUAGGUUCAAGUGCUGCAUUUCCAAGGUCUUUCUCUGGGAAUGUCCUAGGGUGACUGUUAUCCCCAUUCGUGUGUGUGUAAUUUACGCUGGAUAUUAUGUUCUGUGCCUUUAAGACUGGUGGAGUGAAGGUUUUGUUUUGGCCUCUUAUCAGCCACUCGGCGGGACAUCCAGAUAGCACCAGUGCAUGUUGCUGCUUUUUGCUUCUUGCCCCUGCUUUUUGCUUUUUGCUCUUGCUUCUGCUUCGCUUCUGCUUUGCUUGCUCUUGCUUUUCCCCCCCACCCCCCCCAUUAGUUAAUUUAGCUAAACAGUCCAAAUUCCUUUCUGGACUGUUCCCCCCACCCCGCUGGACCUGCUGACUGCUCCGGACUGGGAUUUGGAACACGGAGAGAGAGUUUACACCUUGUGACUGCAGCAGCUGCCCCAGCACCGGAGGGACUGAUAACAGAGCAAACCCACAGGAGAGACUUUUCUGAAUUUUCUGAAUUUGUCAUCUUUUUCAGAGCAGUGGAAGAGUGGUGUCAUCCGGUAUUGUUCAUUGUGUGUGCUGGGGGGUGCUGUGCUUGUCAAAUAAACAGGUUCUUUCCACUUC